rnacentral:rRNA from 1 species
UCCGUAGGCGGUGUGGCAAGUACGGAAAGUGAAAUCUCUGGGCUUAACCCAGAGGCUGCUUCCGAAACUGCCGUGCUAGAGUGUGAGAGAGGCGAGUGGAAUUGCGGGUGUAGCGGUGAGAUGCGUAGAUAUCCGCAGGAACAUCCGAGGCGAAAGCGGCUCGCUGGAUCACAACUGACGCUGAGGGACGAAAGCUAGGGGAGCAAACAGGAUUAGAUACCCUGGUAGUCCUAGCCCUAAACCAUCAGGACUUGGGGUUUGCCCUGUACGGGGCAAGUCCCGUAGCUAACGCGUUAAGUCCUGCGCCUGGGGAGUACGGUCGCAAGGCUGAA